rnacentral:rRNA from 1 species
UACGAAGGGUGCUAGCGUUGUUCGGAAUCACUGGGCGUAAAGCGCACGUAGGCGGAUUUGUAAGUCAGGGGUGAAAUCCCGGGGCUCAACCCCGGAACUGCCUUUGAUACUGCGAAUCUCGAGUCCGAUAGAGGUGGGUGGAAUUCCUAGUGUAGAGGUGAAAUUCGUAGAUAUUAGGAAGAACACCGGCGGCGAAGGCGGCCCACUGGAUCUGUACUGACGCUGAGGUGCGGAAGCGAGGGGAGCUAACAGC